CAAAAAACCCUCACACUCCUCUUUGUCUGCUUUGCACCUCUCAUUCUUCAAUUCACCUUCUGGGGUUUUACCUAAUUCCAAGAUUUUCUUAAAUCUUCCAUCCUAGAAACGUUCCAAUGGCUGCUGUUCCUUCUGACCUUAAAAGAGAACAGGUUUUUCCUUUUCACUAUAUACUAUUUUUUGCUUCUAUCUUAAUGGGUGUUUGUUUUUGAUCUAUUAUUGUUCUCUUGAAACUAAAAAUGUUUUUUUUGUUGGGUGAGAGCAGAUAUUCUCUAUGGCAGAGAAAGAGAUGGAGUAUAGAGUGGAGAUGUUUAACAAGCUUACACAUACAUGCUUCAAAAAGUGCGUCGACAACAAGUACAAGGACUCAGAGUUGAACAUGGGUGAAAAUAGUUGUAUUGACCGAUGCGUUUCGAAGUACUGGCAGGUUGUAGAAAAAGUAUAAGCAAAAUACAACAAAAACUUGGCAACUUUCAGACAUACAAAUAGGUUCAUAGAGUGAAC